GGGCCGCACGCGCGCUACACUGACGGAGCCAGCGAGUACAUCCUUGGCCGAGAGGUCCGGGUAAUCUUGUGAAACUCCGUCGUGCUGGGGAUAGAGCAUUGUAAUUUUUGCUCUUCAACGAGGAAUUCCUAGUAAGCGCAAGUCAUCAGCUUGCGUUGAUUACGUCCC
rnacentral:rRNA from 1 species